GGGUUGUGAGGUUAAGCGACUAAGCGUACACGGUGGAUGCCCUGGCAGUCAGAGGCGAUGAAGGGCGUGCUAAUCUGCGAUAAGCGCCGGUAAGGUGAUAUGAACCGUUAUAACCGGCGAUACCCGAAUGGGGAAACCCAGUGUGUUUCGACACACUAUCAUUAACUGAAUCCAUAGGUUAAUGAGGCGAACCGGGGGAACUGAAACAUCUAAGUACCCCGAGGAAAAGAAAUCAACCGAGAUUCCCCCAGUAGCGGCGAGCGAACGGGGAGGAGCCCAGAGCCUGAAUCAGCAUGUGUGUUAGUGGAAGCGUCUGGAAAGGCGCGCGAUACAGGGUGACAGCCCCGUACACAAAAGCGCAUGUGCUGUGAGCUCGAUGAGUAGGGCGGGACACGUGGUAUCCUGUCUGAAUAUGGGGGGACCAUCCUCCAAGGCUAAAUACUCCUGACUGACCGAUAGUGAACCAGUACCGUGAGGGAAAGGCGAAAAGAACCCCGGCGAGGGGAGUGAAAAAGAACCUGAAACCGUGUACGUACAAGCAGUGGGAGCACCCUUUGGGGUGUGACUGCGUACCUUUUGUAUAAUGGGUCAGCGACUUAUAUUCUGUAGCAAGGUUAACCGAAUAGGGGAGCCGGAGGGAAACCGAGUCUUAAU
rnacentral:rRNA from 1 species